rnacentral:rRNA from 1 species
UGAGGAAUAUUGGUCAAUGGGGCGGAAGCCUGAACCAGCCAAGUAGCGUGCAGGACGACGGCCCUAUGGGUUGUAAACUGCUUUUAUGCGGGGAUAAAGUGGGCCACGUGUGGCCUUUUGCAGGUACCGCAUGAAUAAGGACCGGCUAAUUCCGUGCCAGCAGCCGCGGUAAUACGGAAGGUCCGGGCGUUAUCCGGAUUUAUUGGGUUUAAAGGGAGCGCAGGCCGCCGGGCAAGCGUGUUGUGAAAUGCAGUCGCUCAACGUCUGCACUGCAGCGCGAACUGCCCAGCUUGAGUGCGCGCAACGUUGGCGGAAUUCGCCGUGUAGCGGUGAAAUGCUUAGAUAUGGCGAAG